UCCGAAUUGGUGUAGUGGCUAACAUUUGACGCUCUCACGAUCCAACCCUCGAAUUACAGUUUAGAGUUGUGUUGGUGUUCCGUCAAGCCCGGGGUUCGAUUCCCCGAUUCGGAG